UUUUCCCGAUUCGCAGUUAUCAAAGGGUCCGGCGCUAGACGCCGCUUUAGCCGUAAACCCUAAGAAAAAUAUAAAUAUCAUGCACGAUCUGAAGUGAAGUUUCCUCCAGUGCAGCGGUAGAAAGAUAUUGUUUGAUCACGGACUAACCAACAAACUAUUACUCAGAUAAUUUUUUUCACAGCUCCUGGUGUACCAGUCAUGUGCUCCACACCUUUUACAAUUGAGAUGAAGCGUAAGCUGAUUCAACAGCAGCUCAUAUUGCUCAUGCAUGCUUACAAGUGCCGACUGUGGGAUAUGUUUAACAGGGAGAUGAAUCCAUGCAGCAUUGCACAUUGCCAUACUAUGAAAAAUGUGCUUAGUCACAUGACUCACUGUCAGGCUGGUAGAUCUUGUGAAGUGGCACACUGUGCAUCCUCUCAAAUGAUUAUACUGCAUUGGACGAACUGCAGAGCAGACAGAUGUUCCAUCUGCUUACCCAUCAGAUGCCAGCUGCGCUUAAAGUUUCUGGUGGAAGCAGCAUGAACUGAACUGUCCAGAUGUGCUUUAAAUUCAGUGAUAAAGCAUUUGUUGUGCAGUACAUCAACAGAAGAAAACCCGAUUUGAUUUUUUUUUUAUUUUUAUUUUUUUUUUUGUAGAAUAAACUUGUCAACAAGAUAUUAUAUGCAUCAACAUGUUUUAUUCCCCAAAUUUUAAGUUUUCUUAUUGUAAAGUACUUUUUAAUUGGUGUAUUUUGAGAAUUAAUAGUUUUUUGACUUGUACAGUGAGGCAUGUCACUCCCUAGACCUGAUCUAAGUGGUCACAAAAGGUUUAGGAAAUGCAUGAAAACAAGUUGUACUACUGGCAAACUGACCACAAGGGGGCGUACACACCACAGAUUUAGACUGUCAUAGAAGUACACUAUAAAAAGAUGUGCACAGUAUACUUCUGUGAAGAUACAGAAACAGAAGGCUGCAUAAGCACAAAGUUUUUGUGAUUUAGGGUUAGGUACCUAAUUGGUAACAAUAUGUUUUAUUGCAUAUACUAUAUAUUUAUAGAUGAAAUAUAUAAUAAUAUGUGUAUUAUAGAGUGAGCUCUAGUCAGUCUUGCUUUCUGUAGUUUUUCCACACAGCAGGCAUGCCGAUAGGUUGCUUAAAAUUAUGGCUACUGUUAGUAAUGGUAACAACAUUAAAGCAACUAUAUUGGUCUGUUGAAAACCGUUCUAAAUCAUUGCAAGAAAAUUCAGAAUGCCUGAACACGCCAGAUGGAUCAUACAAAUGAACUGGCAUCAAAUCAAAAAAGAUUGCAUUGAAAGAAUAUAAGAGUUCAGUGAAAAAGUAAGUAAAAAGUCAUUCAUGAGUGAAUUACUCAGUAAAAUGUAUUAAGGAUUUUUGUAUUGGUAAUACAUGGGACAUCUGAGUUCAAUGCAGUAAAUGUUAGAUUUACUUUUUUUUAUUUUAAUAAUUACUAGAGUUGCUAAGUCUAUUUCUAAUUUCAUACACUAUAAUUUUAUAUACAGCAUAUGCAUAUAUGUAUACUUUGCUGUGACUUCCAAGUAAAAAUUGUUUGCUUUAAUUCCUGGGGUGUAUGUGGUGUUCAUGUCCAGUAAGAUUUAAACAGUUUUUUUGAGAGAGACAUCAGCUUGGUAUUUCUGUUGUGUAGACCCUUAGUAUUCACUAGUCUGGAUGUGUUUGGUAAACUAAAUUAAAAGGAUUCACCAUGGUACCAUUUUUUAAUCAUCCUGGUGUCCUAUCCAGAGUUGGUCCCUAACCUGUACUUAAUAAUAAUAAUUCUUUACAUUUGUAUAGUGAUUCUCUCACUACUCAAAGCGCUCUCCAUGCAGGGAGGACCCUAAUAUAGGCUCUGGCUUCCUUUGACCCUGAAUCAGAGAAGAAGAUAAGCAGGUGGAUUGACAAUUCUUUCUUGUAUUAGUGUAUUGAAAAUGUUUUAUUAUUUUCUAUUAUUCCACAACUCUUAGUGAUACAAUGAGCUCAUUUCUGUUGCAUUGUUUUUAAAUGUAGUAAAUAAUCAUGUAACAAUACAUUUUGUUUCAAUA